rnacentral:tRNA from 1 species
AUCAGGAUGGCUGAGUGGUUGAGGUGUUAGACUUAAGAUCUAAUGGACGUAUACCUGCAUGGGUUCAAACCUCACUCCUGGUA